AUAUAUAUUUUGUCCUUCAUCAGUAUGCGAAAAUUUAUACCAUAUAAAUAUAUUACAUUUGGAUUGAAGUCUCUGACUGUCACAUUUGUUCCCAUCACACAGACAAGGAGAAAAAAAAAUCAUCUCAACCCAAUCAUGAACAUGACCUCCAGAAUCUGCCUUCAUCACCAAUUUCCCCACUGCAAAGAAAAAUCUGUGAUCAUGAAAUCCCAGUGUUGGUGAUUGGUUCAGUGCUGGUUGUUUUUGUGAACGCUGUCGCAUUAUUAGUGGAGCUGAUCCUAAAAGCAGGAACUGGUCAGCGUACAGUGGAUCUGCGACUUAUUGUGAUACCGACUGAAAUCGUCUUUGCCUUGUGUGUGAUCGCUGUACAGAUAACUGUUUACUGUAAGUA